UGCUCGGUAGCUUAGAUGGUAAAGCGCUCGUCUAGCAUACAAGAGUCUUGGGUUCGAUCCCAGCCGAGCAC
rnacentral:tRNA from 1 species